UAGAGGUGGAUUGCAGCCUA
rnacentral:siRNA from 1 species